GACCGUUCUUGUGGCAUAGUUGUUAGAGCGGCCGUCUCGGAUGCGGGAUGUCGCGGGUUCAAAUCCCUUCAGAGUCA